UACGUAGGGCGCAAGCGUUGUCCGGAAUUAUUGGGCGUAAAGAGCUCGUAGGCGGCUUGUCACGUCGGGUGUGAAAGCCCGGGGCUUAACCCCGGGUCUGCAUUCGAUACGGGCUAGCUAGAGUGUGGUAGGGGAGAUCGGAAUUCCUGGUGGAGCGGUGAAAUGCGCAGAUAUCAGGAGGAACACCCGUAGCGAAGGCGGCACUCUGGGCCGAUACUGACACUGAGGAGCGAAAGCGUGGGGAGCGAACAGG
rnacentral:rRNA from 1 species